GCAAUCUUAAAACGAGAAGACCCUAGAAACUAACAAUCACAACCUUUUUUGGGACAAAACCUUAAAACAAAAGAAUUAACAUCCUUUAAAAUAAAAUAGUUACUCUAGGGAUAACAGCACAAUAAAAGUUAAGAGAACUCAUCUACCCUUUAGAUUGUGACCUCGAUGUUGAAUCAAGAAUUACCGGUUGUAGAAGACCAGCAAGUUUCGUCUGUUCGACGACACAUAAAUACGUGAUUUGAGUUUAAACCGUCGCAAGACAGGUUGGAUUCUCUUUAAGACUGC
rnacentral:ncRNA from 1 species